CUGGGCUUAUCUCUGUAUCCCAAACUGGAUCCGUGAUGCAAAAAUCUGCUCCGGUUCCCAGGGCAUCCAUUUUCUGCCAUAAACAACAAUGACACUCUCCUUCCCAGAUGUUGAAACAGACUAAAUAACCUCCACUUUCCACUGGCAGCUCUGACAGCAGAAGCUAUCUGAAAUUGCACCGCGCAUGGAUGAACUAUAGGCCCAGCUGGUUACUUGGAUGCUGCAAGCAGGAGGGAUAAAACGGCAGCGGGGGUGAGCGCAAAAGCUUAGGUCUGCUCACCAUCAACCUUCAUCUGGGUUACAGGACGGGGACUGACAUUUGGGGCGCAUGCGCGCGCCAACGCACGCACCGGCUCCGCAUCCUACCUCACCCCAGAGACGGCUCCUCGCGUGCUCUGCACCAGCGUGGGCUUCAUCUUGAUGCCAGACAAGAACCAGAAGUGAAUCCCAGUCCUAUUUUCCUUGGAAAACUCUCUGCUGCAGAUUUCUUCUGGAACAUCGUGGAAUGUGGGAAAGGAAAAGAAUGCAGAGACCAUCCAGUCCAUCAGCUCGGGUUACACGUCAGGAGAGGGAAACCAGACAGACGGCAUGACUGGCCUCAGGCAGGGAUUUUUUUUCCCAACAAAAAGGAAGAACUGAGUCCAUGACGUGUCAAGCCACAUACACCAACCAGGAUUGACUCAUGCAGGCAGGAUGACUCCGAGUGAAGACAUGGCUCAACAGACAAGGGGAAGCUUGACAUGAGCAGAAGCUCUUGAAAUGUAAAAACCCAGCAUUGUGACACGGUUGUCCAGAGGGCUUCAGAGGGCAAUGAAGGGAGCUUUGAACCCCAGUAGUGGCUCUGUUUUUUUCUGUUUUAUGUAUUGGAGUUCCGAAUAAAAUUUCCUUGGAAAAGCAGGUUUCACUGAUUUUCCUUAAAAAUUAAAAGACAUGAAAAUCACUGCCCAAGAAAAAUGAAUUGAAUAAGGACAAAUUGCUACUGAGAUGGGGGAAUGAACUGGAGUAUACCGUUGGCAAUGGUGGUCUUCUUUGAGUCAGUAGGAGCACUGGCACUGAGACCUUCCAUCCUUUCUUCGACCUCUGCUCCCUGUUCAGUGAGAGGUAAGAAGAGUUACCUGGACUUGCUUAACCUUCAAGGCUUUCCUCCUACAUCACCUCUCAGUGAAGUCUACUCUGACCAGACCAUUUAAUGUCAAAUGCUUGUCGCCCGAUAGACACUCCCAGUCCCCCAUACCUUGUCUACUUUUUCUUUUAUUCCUUAGCAUUUUAUCACUAACUAUAUAAUUUACUUACUUAUUAUGCUCC